rnacentral:rRNA from 1 species
GACGAACGCUGGCGGCGUGCUUAACACAUGCAAGUCGAGCGGUAAGGCCCUUCGGGGUACACGAGCGGCGAACGGGUGAGUAACACGUGGGUGACCUGCCCUCCACUCUGGGAUAAGCCCGGGAAACUGGGUCUAAUACCGGAUAUGACCUCUUGGUGCAUGCCAGGUGGUGGAAAGUUUUUUCGGUGGGGGAUGGGCCCGCGGUCUAUCAGCUUGUUGGUGGGGUGAUGGCCCACCAAGGCGACGACGGAUAGCCGGCCUGAGAGGGUGAUCGGCCACACUGGGACUGAGACACGGCCCAGACUCCUACGGGAGGCAGCAGUGGGGAAUCUUGCGCAAUGGGCGGAAGCCUGACGCAGCAACGCCGCGUGAGGGAUGACGGCCUUCGGGUUGUAAACCUCUUUCGCGAUCGACGAAGGUCCAGUUUCUGCUGGGCUGACGGUAGGUCGAGAAGAAGCACCGGCCAACUACGUGCCAGCAGCCGCCGUAAAAC